CAAUAGCAGCGAUUAUGUUUAUCGCACCAAUUGCUUAUAUUUGAACGAAAAUUGUCGCACCACUUAUACCACUUGGAAACGUGUAGUCACUUUGGUUAGAAAGAGAUUGUAGCUCUCAAGGACAGUUCAUUCAGUUUGGUUGUAGUGUAGGCUUGGCACCACAUAUACUUUCCAUAGAAGCAGAAAGUGGCGUAAAAUCAUGAAGCAGUAAAAAUAACUUCUUAUACAUCUGUUUAUCCUAGAUACGUAGCAUAAUACACAACACAUAGUAGGCAUUGGGAAAAGAUAGCUAUUAGAUGAUUGCUUCAAAAAUACACUAAAAACUGGAGCUGAAUGCAUUUUAGGUAGUAAAACACAUCCCAGAGACGAGAUGGGUUGAUGCAAGUCUUGGACCCUGGUGUUUGCGAUUCAUUUUAGUAUACUGUAUUUGGUAAGUGGUAUGGAUCGUGUAUUUUGAUGCAGGUUGAUGGAUGUAUUUUCUUGCGGUGAAGCAGGCCUGUAAAUUUGCGAGAUAACAUAUUCUUCAAAAUGGACUGGUAGUACGUAUUCAGGAAACUUGGACAACUUCUAUCAUGUAGAUUGCAUGCAUGUAUGUAGUUUCUGAUUCCUCUAUCGGAUGGAUUCAGCUUAAGACUGAUUGCUACUCUGCUUCAACAAUGAUAUCUUACUAGAUUAGCUGGUAAAUCCAAUGUUGAAGGUUUGCUUACACACUAAAGGCAGCUGGCCAUUUUCAUUAAAAAAUUGCUUGCCCUGUAUUGUUGAUCAAUUAAUUUCAGGGAGGCGUACCCAUGUUGUCCUUGUUUUAACAGCUAUUGCUAACAUUUUUCCGCUGGUUUUAACAAUGAAUCACUUCUCUUCUUUUUGGAAGUGCUAAUUUUGAAGCCGUGAUCUUGUGUACUAAAAGAGUACUCCGUACUUGCCUACUUGGUUUACUUUAUGUCUCAGGUUUCUCGGUUAGCAUUGCACAAAGCAUACAAUAGAUCUAUAUGGACAAAUGUUCAUUAUGGUUACAUAUCUGAUGUCAUGGGCUAUACUAACUUCUUCCCAAUAGAUUAUAUUUUUGAUAUAGUUGCUGGUCAAUAUGCUCUUGUGUUUUAUAUUCUCGAGAUGGAAACAUACAUAUACCAUAGCCAUUCUAUGUGGGAUCCAGAUAGGAUUGCACCUUCAACCUAUGUUCUAAUCUAAGUUAUUUUAUAGCCUGACAUUUUUUCUAAUACAUCAAAAGAUAAGACAGGGAGCUUUGUAUACUCUUUGUUGCUGGUACUCUGUAGGUAUCAUCGGACUGCAACACUAUGAGCAAUUUGAUGUAGGGCGCGACCGCAAGUACAAGAACGAUGGCUGUGUUGGCAUCUGCUGAUCCUAGAGAGAACAAGAUGCCGGGAACCGCUGGUGUCGAGUGACACAUCCAUGUCCUCUAUGCCAUGGUAGCCGAUCCCGCGACCCCAACGGUCCACCCUUCUCCAUUCCAUAAGCCCUGCUUCUCUAUCUUCUGUAGAUGGUUCUGUCUUAAAAUUUAUUAUAUAUCCUGAAAGAUAUAGGAAACAACUCACUAUGGUGUUAAUCUGAAAUUCAGUGUGCAUUUUAUUUAUCAUUUUGCACUGUUUGCUAGCCCAUUGCCAGCAUCACAUGUUUUUAUAGUGUUCUUAUGGCUGUUAUCUGUCCAGAACGUGUUUGUUCCUUUAACAAGAAAUCCAAGAAGUCGUAGGAGAGAUACAAUACCCCACAAACCAUUCAGAAGUAGGAAAGAUCAAAGGAUAGUAUAUGUUAGAUACGGUCUAUUUAGUGGCACUUCUUAUUUACCCUCUAAUUAACAUGUAUAUUGUGUAUUACAUCAAGGAAGCGUCAAAAGGAACAAGAAACGGCCAACUCUUAUGGUUUUUUUAUGAGUUAUUUCAUGCCUUACGUAUUUAGUGAACGCAUUUUUAAAACUCGGUUCAGUGUUAAAUCAUAAUCGUUAGUGUGGUUUAAGAAGAGAUUUUGACGAUGAUUAUAUGUCAUUGUAAUCUACCUAAUGGAAUAAAGUGUUCCACCAUUAAAUAAAACUAUGUUCAAUGUGAAAUCAUAAUCGUUAGUAUGGUUCAAUCAGAGUUUUUGACGGUUUUGUAAUGCUGCUUUUGUUCCUUAGGGUGUUCUUUCACAAAGGAGGUUAAUUCUGAAUAGAAGUCAGAUCCAAAUCACAAAGAAUGCUACAACAAGGCUGCUACAGUCCCAGUGCGUCGCAUGGCUAAAAGAAACAAGCCAAGAUUACUGGAACGGUUUUAUAGUUUCACGACAGAGAUAUGAUGGAGAUAUUCAAUGUAUUUUGUAUACCAUGCUAGAUGGUUGAUUUAAAUCAUCCCAUGGCCUGAUAGAUGCCUAAGGUAUGUAACUAGAAGCUGUGCAAGUCAUAUAUGAAAUAUUUCUCGAUUAUUAUGAUGGUUGGCUAUCCUUUUCAGAUUUUAAUGGUCGGACAUUCCUAUGUGCGGAAUCUGUGAUGGGGAGGAGUCUGAACAUGAUGAAUGGCCUUGAGCUUGGCGGGUGUCGCAGUCUGACCAGGCAAGCGUUCUAGCAUCUAGCUUCGAUGACCUUCAACACUUCAAUGUUUGUAUGACACAAACACUGGUAAAAGUAACACAACUACACAUUCAAAAUCUACUAACUUGGACAGCAAAAAAAUACGUUUUAGUUGCCUCCGUAGUUGCGAGAGCUGAUCCUAACUUUGUGGAUACAUCUUAUUUGGUUACUUUUGUGUUAUUUUUUAAAGCAUUUUAUGUAUGUAAGUGUGCGAGACUUGCUGAUGCAUGGGCUUUCAGUUUUUUUAUAGUGCAAGAAAGUAACUGUUUGAUCGAAGCUAUCUUAUGAAGCUUCUGACUACCCUACAAAAUGGGUAGUUGCCAUACAAAUGCCACUUGUGGGAGGAAAGAUACGAGGAGUAAUGUUAGGUUUUAGAGAAAACGGUUGUAUGCAUUGCAAGAAAUUGUUAUAAUGUAGUUUUGUAUAUCUAUGCUACUCAUAUAA